GGGUUGUGAGGUUAAGCGACUAAGCGUACACGGUGGAUGCCCUGGCAGUCAGAGGCGAUGAAGGACGUGCUAAUCUGCGAAAAGCGUCGGUAAGGUGAUAUGAACCGUUACAGCCGGCGAUGUCCGAAUGGGGAAACCCAGUGUGAUUCGUCACACUAUCGUUAACUGAAUACAUAGGUUAACGAGGCGAACCGGGGGAACUGAAACAUCUAAGUACCCCGAGGAAAAGAAAUCAACCGAGAUUCCCCCAGUAGCGGCGAGCGAACGGGGAGCAGCCCAGAGUCUGAAUCAGCUUGUGUGUUAGUGGAACGGUCUGGAAAGUCCGACGGUACAGGGUGAUAGUCCCGUACACCAAAAUGCACAGGUUGUGAACUCGAAGAGUAGGGCGGGACACGUGGUAUCCUGUCUGAAUAUGGGGGGACCAUCCUCCAAGGCUAAAUACUCCUGACUGACCGAUAGUGAACCAGUACCGUGAGGGAAAGGCGAAAAGAACCCCGGCGAGGGGAGUGAAAAAGAACCUGAAACCGUGUACGUACAAGCAGUGGGAGCACCUUCGGGUGUGACUGCGUACCUUUUGUAUAAUGGGUCAGCGACUUAUAUUCUGUAGCAAGGUUAACCGUAUAGGGGAGCCGCAGGGAAACCGAGUCUUAACUGGGCGUUAAGUUGCAGGGUAUAGACCCGAAACCCGGUGAUCUAGCCAUGGGCAGGUUGAAGGUUGGGUAACACUAACUGGAGGACCGAACCGACUAAUGUUGAAAAAUUAGCGGAUGACUUGUGGCUGGGGGUGAAAGGCCAAUCAAACCGGGAGAUAGCUGGUUCUCCCCGAAAGCUAUUUAGGUAGCGCCUCGUGAAUUCAUCUUCGGGGGUAGAGCACUGUUUCGGCUAGGGGGUCAUCCCGACUUACCAACCCGAUGCAAACUACGAAUACCGAAGAAUGUUAUCACGGGAGACACACGGCGGGUGCUAACGUCCGUCGUGAAGAGGGAAACAACCCAGACCGCCAGCUAAGGUCCCAAAGUCAUGGUUAAGUGGGAAACGAUGUGGGAAGGCACAGACAGCCAGGAUGUUGGCUUAGAAGCAGCCAUCAUUUAAAGAAAGCGUAAUAGCUCACUGGUCGAGUCGGCCUGCGCGGAAGAUGUAACGGGGCUAAACCAUGCACCGAAGCUGCGGCAGCGACACUAUGUGUUGUUGGGUAGGGGAGCGUUCUGUAAGCCUGCGAAGGUGACCUGUGAGGGUUGCUGGAGGUAUCAGAAGUGCGAAUGCUGACAUAAGUAACGAUAAAGCGGGUGAAAAGCCCGCUCGCCGGAAGACCAAGGGUUCCUGUCCAACGUUAAUCGGGGCAGGGUGAGUCGACCCCUAAGGCGAGGCCGAAAGGCGUAGUCGAUGGGAAACAGGUUAAUAUUCCUGUACUUGGUGUUACUGCGAAGGGGGGACGGAGAAGGCUAUGUUAGCCGGGCGACGGUUGUCCCGGUUUAAGCAUGUAGGCUGGUUGUCCAGGCAAAUCCGGAUAAUCAAGGCUGAGGUGUGAUGACGAGGCACUACGGUGCUGAAGUAACAAAUGCCCUGCUUCCAGGAAAAGCCUCUAAGCAUCAGGUAACAUUAAAUCGUACCCCAAACCGACACAGGUGGUCAGGUAGAGAAUACCAAGGCGCUUGAGAGAACUCGGGUGAAGGAACUAGGCAAAAUGGUGCCGUAACUUCGGGAGAAGGCACGCUGGUGUGUAGGUGAAGUCCCUGCGGAUGGAGCUGAGACCAGUCGAAGAUACCAGCUGGCUGCAACUGUUUAUUAAAAACACAGCACUGUGCAAACACGAAAGUGGACGUAUACGGUGUGACGCCUGCCCGGUGCCGGAAGGUUAAUUGAUGGGGUUAUCCGUAAGGAGAAGCUCUUGAUCGAAGCCCCGGUAAACGGCGGCCGUAACUAUAACGGUCCUAAGGUAGCGAAAUUCCUUGUCGGGUAAGUUCCGACCUGCACGAAUGGCGUAAUGAUGGCCAGGCUGUCUCCACCCGAGACUCAGUGAAAUUGAACUCGCUGUGAAGAUGCAGUGUACCCGCGGCAAGACGGAAAGACCCCGUGAACCUUUACUAUAGCUUGACACUGAACAUUGAGCCUUGAUGUGUAGGAUAGGUGGGAGGCUUUGAAGCGUGGACGCCAGUCUGCGUGGAGCCAACCUUGAAAUACCACCCUUUAAUGUUUGAUGUUCUAACGUUGGCCCCUUACCGGGGUUGCGGACAGUGUCUGGUGGGUAGUUUGACUGGGGCGGUCUCCUCCCAAAGCGUAACGGAGGAGCACGAAGGUUAGCUAAUCCUGGUCGGACAUCAGGAGGUUAGUGCAAUGGCAUAAGCUAGCUUGACUGCGAGCGUGACGGCGCGAGCAGGUGCGAAAGCAGGUCAUAGUGAUCCGGUGGUUCUGAAUGGAAGGGCCAUCGCUCAACGGAUAAAAGGUACUCCGGGGAUAACAGGCUGAUACCGCCCAAGAGUUCAUAUCGACGGCGGUGUUUGGCACCUCGAUGUCGGCUCAUCACAUCCUGGGGCUGAAGUAGGUCCCAAGGGUAUGGCUGUUCGCCAUUUAAAGUGGUACGCGAGCUGGGUUUAGAACGUCGUGAGACAGUUCGGUCCCUAUCUGCCGUGGGCGCUGGAGAAUUGAGGGGGGCUGCUCCUAGUACGAGAGGACCGGAGUGGACGCAUCACUGGUGUUCGGGUUGUCAUGCCAAUGGCACUGCCCGGUAGCUAAAUGCGGAAGAGAUAAGUGCUGAAAGCAUCUAAGCACGAAACUUGCCCCGAGAUGAGUUCUCCCUGAGACUUUAAGUCUCCUGAAGGAACGUUAAAGACGAUGACGUUGAUAGGCCGGGUGUGUAAGCGCAGCGAUGCGUUGAGCUAACCGGUACUAAUGAACCGUGAGGCUUAACCUUACAACGCCGAAG
rnacentral:rRNA from 1 species